rnacentral:lncRNA from 1 species
GGGCUCACUUCAGUCAGAGUCUAGAUGAGUGGACACAUCUCUUUUCUUCUGCAGGUAACAAACUCUUGAGUUUUACAUUUAUCAUGUUUUUGUUGGCAUAAAAAAAUCUGCAAAUAUUAUUCCUAAAUUAGUUAAUUAAUGUCCAUGCAUUAAACAUACAGUAUAUAUUCUUCUCAUUUUAAUACAUAUUUUUUAUCAUUUAUGUCUAGAUUUUUAAAUCCUUAGAUUUCUGAAUUUCCUCUGGGAUUAAUAAAGUAUCUAUCUAUCUAUCUAGAUCAAUUGUAAAUAGUAAAAUUGUAAUGUUAUCAAACAUAAUUUGAAUCUGAGGCAUGAAGUCACAGCAUGGUUUUAGUGUUGCAUUGUUUUCUUGUGGUUUUAUUUGUGAUAGAUUGAUGUUAUUGUGGUUUAUAACAUUGUAUUUGUAUAUGAUUGCAAGUCCAGUGUACAGAUCAUUAGACUUAGAUUAUAUUCUUAUGGGUGCAUGGGUCUGGUCUACUGUCUGUAGUCUGACCAGAAGUGCAAAAUAUGAACACAUUUAAAGAAUGACUGUAUAUGACCAUAUAUGCUCUACAGAGACGAUUUAACAUGUUUAUAAGGUCCACAACAGAUGGUUACAGUGCUAAUCUAUUAAUAUUAAUGAAUAAUGAUCACAACAUUCAUGUCAAUAACAGUACAAAAGAUGUACAACUCUGAGGAUGAUGAAAGUUUUACAACAAAUAUCCAUUAAAUUACUGCUUCAAUGAUUAGAACAUGUAAUGGUUUCUUCACAAAAUGAAUGUUUAUUGCUCAAGAUUCUUGUCUUUCAUUGUGCCAUCAUGCCUCAGUCACACUGUCACAUUAACACACUAUGAGAACUUUAUUUUUAUUUCAUGAGUAAUCUUUAUGUUUAGACUGUUAUAAAAUUUUAGAUGUAUGAAAAAUAAUCUUCUGGUAGAAAGUAUUUUGUCCUCGGCUCAGAAUGUUCUUGAUCUGUCUCAUUCUCAACGUAACCAAAGGGGUUGUUCAUUAGCUCACACAGCUCCCCCUCUGUUGUCUUUGCCACACACACACACACACACACACACACACACACACACACACACACACACACACACACGCGCACACACACACACACACACACACACACACACACACACACACACACACAAGCAGAUUUAGAAGAUGACCUCGGUGCAAAAAUGCAGGAAUGAACUACACGAAGACAGAAUCAAGCUGGCAGCCUCUCGCAGGAUUUUAUUCCGAUCACAGCAACAAACACAGUUCAAUGAACAAAUCGAACAGACAUAACUCAGAACAGAAAAACUACAGACCUCUUAUAGUACUCCAUUGACGUCACUGAUCUCAGCUUUUGCCAAAUGUGUGUGCGAAGCUACCUUCGUGUGUGUGUAUUUCCCACUUUCACGUGGGAACGUUACCUACGUGACUCUUCCCUGCCAAUAUCUCUGAAGCACAUCUGUAUCCAUCUUCCUCUGCCAAAUUUCCUGUUAUUGUAAUACAGUUCACCAUGACCUGAUGAAGUUUAUCCCAAUCUGACCUCUCCAACCAUAUCCUGCUUUCUUGCCUCAUAGUAACCUCCAAAACAUCCAAACAUAUCUGCUAUUUUCCCCCACAACGACAAGCACACUUUUGUGUUAUCAGUAAACAAAGUUCUCUUCUGUAAAAUCAGUACAGGUGACAGUUCUGUGCUCUGUUUAUAUCAGUAGAGCUGGGCGGUAUGGCAAAAAAAAAAAAUUCACAUCAGUUGCUUUCAGUCUUGAUAAAUCUCAACUCAUUGUUUUGAUAACACUUUACAAUGCUUUUUAUAAAACACCUAUCAUUAAAUUUGUAUAAUAUAUAUAUAUAUAUAUAUAUAUAUAUAUAUAUAUAUAUAUAUAUAUAUGUAUGUAUUUAUUAAUGUCAUGAGUCCUUGUAUGACACAUUUUACAUUAAUUAAAACCACCAUCAAUUUAAGUCUAUAUACUGUAUGAAUAACAUUAGCCAGCAGUGUCAACAUCUAAGCAAAUACAGCUAGCAUUUUACAGAUAGAGCUAACUAUUUUUAGUUUGGAAAAAAAAAAGCUUUUAUUUGAGAAAUCAUAAUCAGACAUUAUUUCAAAACACAUGCUCUCCCCAAAGGAGAAAGAAACAGAUACAACUCAGCACUGUUAGCUUUUACAGUUUGAUGUUUUCAUUAAAUUGUCCCGAAUGCAAAACUCACGUUUUGGAUUAUUUUAGUCAGCCCUUUUGUGUUUACAACAGCAUAUCAAGGAGCACUUUUGUAAAGAAAAGUGCAUAAACUGACUAGAACUAGCUAACUGAUAAGCUGUAAAACUAUGCCAAUGCAGUGCCCUCUGCUGGUUUUGGGUUUUGGUUCUUGGUGACGUAUGUACUUUACCCAGUUAUAGUAUCUUGAUUGCUGUAGUCACUAAUGAACUGAACCUGAUUCUCAACAGCAAUGGGUGCCCUACAUUGCUGGCUGAUACAACACAUAUUAUGCCAAAUAGCUUCUAGUUUCAGCUUUGUAGCUACUUUUCCGCUAGUGCUUUUAUGUGAGUACCUGGAGGACAGAGAGAAUAGCCUGUCAUGUCUAAGAUGUCCUUGCUGUUGCUCUUCCUGCCUCAGCUAUCCAUUGAUGUGAAAUAAAGCAUAGCGGUAGUUCAGGCAGGACACGAAGUCAAGCUAAAGGCUACAGUCAGCUGAUCUUAAUCCAGCCCUCAGUCAGCUGACAGCUCAGCUGAUCGCCCCCACACAUCCUAUUGGCAAAUGUCAAAAUGGCAUCCUAUUUAAACUGCUUCUCCUGCCUACUCUGCCUGCUGCAACCACUCUGUAACCCACCCAUAUGUAUCGUCAUGGAUACUUGCUCUGUUCUGUGGGGGGAUUUUAAUUUAUUUGCUGCUGCUUUCUCUGCCUUGGCUUUUCUUGUACACGCAUAAAAGGGAGGGGCUCCCCCCUCUUAUAGCCGUGGCAUUCCAUGCAAGCGCAUGGAAGGGCAGGGAACUCUCAGAACAGAGCCAUACCACCAAUGGAAAAAUGUUUGCUUGUAAUAAAUAAUUAAUUUUGACUAAAGUGGUCCUGACUGAAAUAGAAAAAAGGUGUGCUCUCCCUGCCUCAGGCUUUGACAAUCCAUAUAUGCACAUAAAGGACAGGGAGCUCUCAGAACAGGGCCAUACCACCAAGUUAAACUUAUUGUGUGCAAAUAGUGAUUCUUUUGACUGAAGUGGUCCUGAUUGAAUUAUAUUUGUCUCUUACAGGAGAAAACAGAAAAGAACAACACAGACUAAACUGCUGAAUAAACCAGAAAAAUGGGGAACGUACCAUCAGAGGCUAACAUGGGAGGCAGUCUAAGAUGUUACAAAUGUAGCUGCAUCCUGCCUCCGUGUACAAACUUUGACAACCUUUACCAAGCCACUAUUCAUGGAAUCUGUGUAUACGUGUUCAAUGGAGGUGAAUACUUCAGAGAAGUAGGCCACGAUAAUAUGUACCAAUGCGCCAGUUGCUUUUAUCAGCCGAACAGAUAGGAGAAGAGAAGAAGAGAGGAGGAGGCAGGAAGAGGAGAGGAGAAGAGAAGAAGAGAGGAGGAGGCAAGAAGAGGAGAGGAGAAGAGAAGAAGAGAGGAGGAGGCAAGAAGAGGAGAGGAGAAGAGAAGAAGAGAGGAGAAGGCAAGAAGAGGAGAGAAGAAGAGAAGAAGAGAGGCGAAGGAGAGAGGCUGAAGAAAAGAGGAGAGAAGAACUGAAUCAAAGAUUACAGGACUCACUCCAACAAGCCAAAGAGCAGCGGGAGGAACAACUGAGCAACAUCCAUUCAGAGGAACUCAAGUCAAAGAGAAAGGUUCUCAAAACUGAUAUGGAUGAGUUUGAAAUGAACGAUGAAUCAGGCAGCGAGGAUGACAAACUUAUAGAAAUCCUCUCCUCCAAAUGUGGCAUUCCACUUCAGAAUCUGAGCCUCAGUCAGCUCACUGCAGAUAAUCUGAGAAGCAAGAAAUGAUUUCGAAAAAUUAUCCAUGAAUAAUAUGAGGUAAUUUAUAUGAUGAUUAUCCUAUUGUUUUUGAUUUUCAACCUUACUUUAGUGACAUUAAUGUCUUUUUCUUUUUAAGUUUCAUGUGUUUAAUUCUGAAAUCACAUUUUUAUGAACCACUUCAUGAAAUUUACUCAACGUGAUUGUUUCGUUUUUGUUUUAAUCAUUUUUUAAAGUCAUACAUUAAAUCCCUCUGUCAGUCAUUAUGAAAGGGAUAAUUAAUAUCCAGAGACUUUUCAAAAACUUUCAACUAUACAGAACUUUUGCAUUUAUAAAGUUAUAACUAGUUGUUAUAUAUGAAUGGAGGCUGAAAUGAAUUAAACUACUCAAAAUGUAAUAAUUUCACUUUUUUUCUAUACUAUUAUACAUUUUUAUUGUGGAUAUGUUGGAUGUCAGUUAAAGUGUUAUUCAUUAAUCCUUGGAAAUCUGUCGUCCUUGUGAAAUCAAAGAGAACAUUAGACACUUUUGGAUUUCUUGUAAUCACUGAUCACUUGAAUUCUCAAUUAAUAUUCAUAGUGUCACAUUAAUGAUUGAUAUACUCAUAACUGUUUCAGAAUAUAUGCAGAUUAAAAAACAAUCAAGCUCUUA